ACAAGUGAAUAAGUGCACAUGGUGGAUGCCUUGGCGAUUACAGGCGAUGAAGGACGUAGUAGCUUGCGAUAAGCUGCGGGGAGUGAGCAAACACACUUUGAUCCGCAGAUUUCCGAAUGGGGAAACCCGGCCUUUUAGGUCAUUGCAUACUGAAUACAUAGGUAUGCAAAGCGAACGCGGCGAACUGAAACAUCUAAGUAGCUGCAGGAAAAUAAAUCAACCGAGAUUCCCAAAGUAGUGGCGAGCGAAAUGGGAAGAGCCUGCAUGAUUUAGCAUGACGCAUAGUGGAAUCCUCUGGAAAUAGGAGCCAUAGCGGGUGAUAGCCCCGUACACGAAAUGCGCUGUGUGGAACUAAGUAUGCGACAAGUAGGGCGGGACACGAGAAAUCCUGUCUGAAUAUGGGGGGACCAUCCUCCAAGGCUAAAUACUCGUAAUCGACCGAUAGUGAACCAGUACCGUGAGGGAAAGGCGAAAAGAACCCCGGGAGGGGAGUGAAAUAGAUCCUGAAACCGUGUGCAUACAAACAGUAGGAGCGGACUUGUUCCGUGACUGCGUACCUUUUGUAUAAUGGGUCAGCGACUUACAUUCAGUGGCAAGGUUAACCAUAUAGGGAAGCCGUAGAGAAAUCGAGUCCGAAUAGGGCGACAGUCGCUGGGUGUAGACCCGAAACCAAGUGAUCUACUCAUGGCCAGGAUGAAGGUGCGGUAACACGCCCUGGAGGUCCGAACCCACUAAUGUUGAAAAAUUAGGGGAUGAGCUGUGGGUAGGGGUGAAAGGCUAAACAAACUUGGAAAUAGCUGGUUCUCUCCGAAAACUAUUUAGGUAGUGCCUCAAGUAUCACCAUCGGGGGUAGAGCACUGUUAUGGCUAGGGGGUCAUUGCGACUUACCAAACCAUUGCAAACUCCGAAUACCGAUGAGUGCGAGCUUGGGAGACAGACGUCGGGUGCUAACGUCCGGCGUCAAGAGGGAAACAACCCAGACCGCCAGCUAAGGUCCCAAAGAUUGGCUAAGUGGAAAACGAAGUGGGAAGGCUAAAACAGUCAGGAUGUUGGCUUAGAAGCAGCCAUCAUUUAAAGAAAGCGUAAUAGCUCACUGAUCGAGUCGUCCUGCGCGGAAGAUGUAACGGGGCUAAGCCAGUCACCGAAGCUGCGGAUAUCUAGUAAUAGAUAUGGUAGGAGAGCGUUCUGUAAGCCUGCGAAGGUGUCUUGUAAAGGAUGCUGGAGGUAUCAGAAGUGCGAAUGCUGACAUGAGUAGCGAUAAUGCGGGUGAAAAGCCCGCACGCCGUAAGCCCAAGGUUUCCUGUUCAACGUUCAUCGGAGCAGGGUGAGUCGGCCCCUAAGGCGAGGCAGAGAUGCGUAGCUGAUGGGAAGCAGGUUAAUAUUCCUGCACCGUCGUAUGAUGCGAUGGGGGGACGGAUCGCGGAAGGUUGUCCGGGUGUUGGAUGUCCCGGUUUUUGACUCAUAGAAGGCGCUUAGGCAAAUCCGGGCGCGGAAUUCAAGGGGUCGAGACGAGCGGCUUUAUGCUGCGAAGCAAUCGGAAGUGGUUCCAAGAAAAGCCUCUAAGCUUCAGUCAUACGAGACCGUACCGCAAACCGACACAGGUGGGCGAGAUGAGUAUUCUAAGGCGCUUGAGAGAACUCGGGAGAAGGAACUCGGCAAAUUGGUACCGUAACUUCGGGAAAAGGUACGCCCCGGUAGCUUGAAUGGUUUACUCCAUGAGGGUGAAAGGGUUGCAAUAAACUGGUGGCUGCGACUGUUUAAUAAAAACACAGCACUCUGCAAACACGAAAGUGGACGUAUAGGGUGUGACGCCUGCCCGGUGCUGGAAGAUUAAAUGAUGGGGUGCAAGCUCUUGAUUGAAGUCCCAGUAAACGGCGGCCGUAACUAUAACGGUCCUAAGGUAGCGAAAUUCCUUGUCGGGUAAGUUCCGACCUGCACGAAUGGCGUAACGAUGGCCACACUGUCUCCUCCCGAGACUCAGCGAAGUUGAAAUGUUUGUGAUGAUGCAAUCUACCCGCGGCUAGACGGAAAGACCCCAUGAACCUUUACUGUAGCUUUGCAUUGGACUUUGAACCAAUCUGUGUAGGAUAGGUGGGAGGCUUUGAAGCGGGGACGCCAGUUCUCGUGGAGCCAACCUUGAAAUACCACCCUGGUUUGUUUGAGGUUCUAACCUUGGUCCGUUAUCCGGAUCGGGGACAGUGCUGGUGUCGAACGAAGUCGGCAUGGGGAUCGUUCCGAUGGGCGCGGUCACGCGCUGCUUUGCCGACGAAGCGGGCCGCCUGAACCAGGCCGUGGCGGCACUGGCCGAGCGCGUGGUGUUCAUCGCCGCCGGACUGCCGCUGGCGCUCAAGGGCAGCGCGUGCUGAUGGGCUUGAGCCUGACCGAAACGGCGCUGCUGCUGGCCGCCGGGGUCGCGCUCGACCUGCUACUCGGUGAAGCGCGCCGCUGGCAUCCGCUGAUCGGUUUCGGCAAUAUGGCGAUGUUCCUCGAACGCCACCUCAACCGCGGGCGCUGGCGCGUGGCGCGCGGCGCGAUGGCGUGGGCGCUGGCGGUGCUGCCGCUGACGAUGCUGGCCGCGCUGGCGCACAGCUACGCCGUCCAUGCCCUGCUGCUGUACUUCGCGAUCGGCCUGCGCAGCCUUCGCGAACACAAUCUGCCGAUUGCCGAUGCGCUGCAAGCUGGCGAUCUGGCCGGCGCGCGCGCACUGACGGCGCGCAUCGUCAGCCGC
rnacentral:rRNA from 1 species